UACAGAGGGUGCGAGCGUUAAUCGGAAUUACUGGGCGUAAAGGGCGCGUAGGCGGUGUAUUAAGUUAGAUGUGAAAUCCCUGGGCUUAACCUAGGAACUGCAUCUAAUACUGGUACGCUAGAGUGCAGUAGAGGGUAGUGGAAUUUCCGGUGUAGCGGUGAAAUGCGUAGAUAUCGGAAGGAACACCAGUGGCGAAGGCGGCUACCUGGACUGACACUGACGCUGAGGAGCGAAAGCCAGGGGAGCAAACGGG
rnacentral:rRNA from 1 species